GACGAACGCUGGCGGCGUGCUUAACACAUGCAAGUCGAACGGAAAGGCCCUGCUUUUGUGGGGUGCUCGAGUGGCGAACGGGUGAGUAACACGUGAGUAACCUGCCCUUGACUUUGGGAUAACUUCAGGAAACUGGGGCUAAUACCGGAUAGGAGCUCCUGCUGCAUGGUGGGGGUUGGAAAGUUUCGGCGGUUGGGGAUGGACUCGCGGCUUAUCAGCUUGUUGGUGGGGUAGUGGCUUACCAAGGCUUUGACGGGUAGCCGGCCUGAGAGGGUGACCGGCCACAUUGGGACUGAGAUACGGCCCAGACUCCUACGGGAGGCAGCAGUGGGGGAUAUUGCACAAUGGGCGGAAGCCUGAUGCAGCAACGCCGCGUGCGGGAUGACGGCUUUCGGGUUGUAAACCGCUUUCGCCUGUGACGAAGCGUGAGUGACGGUAAUGGGUAAAGAAGCACCGGCUAACUACGUG
rnacentral:rRNA from 1 species